UCUCAUUACUCUCCUCCAUAUCUCUCUACCCUUCUCUGCAGGCAUGGAAGAGCAAUUUAUACUUCGGCUUCCACCUUCGGUAGCUGAACGGAUAGACCGGCUCUUGAGCGAAAACGCAUCUUCGUCUUCUGAUGACAAGUCCUUGGAUUUAACCUUUUCCGAGGAUGGGAGAAGUGGCACAUUUUCAAUAGGAAACGAUCACUUCCCUGCAUUUCUUUUGGAUUUACCUGGCAUUGUGGAGUUAUACAAAACCUAUGAUGAUAGCGUGCUGAUUAAAAGUGCAGAUAUUGGUCAAAUGAUUAUGGUGAAGGAGGAAGGUGACAGUGUUCCAGAUGAGGUGGAGUACAGACAUGGCCUUACCCCUCCGAUGAGGGAUGCUCGAAGGCGAAGGUUCCGCAGAGAACCAGAUCUAAAUCCUGAGCUGGUCCGGCGUGCUGAGAAAGAUUUGCAGAAUAUUAUGGCUGGUGGAACAGCUGAGAAUAUUGAUGUUGAAGCCAUUGAGCAUGAGGAAGAUGGCGAGGAAAAUGCUCGUAAUGUAAGUAAGAAGGUGGAACCUAAGCCUCCAGAGAAGCCUGACAUACCUGAGGCUGGGACAGCUGGUGGAGAGCCAGACAGAAGCGAUUCUGAUGAGUCUGAUUAUUCAAUAUGAUGGAGGUCCUUUAUUUAAACUUGAGUAUCUGGUUCUGCUGGGUGGUUAGACCUACUAUUUGCAAAUUUAACUUUGUAAGGUAUAUGGUACACAAGGUGCAACUCCACAUGUUAAGUGUUGUAUUGAGGUAGUAUCACCAUAUUAUCAAUAGAGUGCCCUGAGUGUAUCCCAUGCCUCUUUUGGAGUCCUAGCAUCUUUGAUCCGGUGUAAUAAAUCAUCUUCCACAGCCAUUGUUAAAGCACACAGAUUUGCUAACUUUAACUUUCCACUUUUAAAGUGGCUCUGCCUUCGUUAGUAGUGAUGUGUCAUCUCCACCAACAACGAGCCACAAAUCUUGUCCAAAUAGGUAGAACUUCAUACGAGUCCUCUAGGAACCAUAGUUGUUGGAAUUGAUAUUUAAUUUAGCAACAUUUCCAACUGAGACAGCAACCUCUGUCAUAGCUAAUUUU